rnacentral:lncRNA from 1 species
UGUGAGCGGCGCUAAAGUGAUUUUCCUUCCUUGAUGCUUGAAGGAAUACCUAUUGGUACGUUCAUCGUGAAUGACCUUGCGAUCCGAUUGCCAUGGUUCUCCUAGCAACAAAUGGCAGACUUGAAUAGGCACAACAUCACAAAGGACUUCGUCUUGGUAUCUUCCGAUGGAAAAUGCAACACGCACUUGUUGAGUAACUUCAAAUUUGCCUUCAACACCAAGUCCUUACAGUUGAUAGGGUCG